UUCGUAGGGCUUGUAUGCUUUCUAGUCUGCCCCGACAUGAACAGCAUCUGCCUUGGGCUUCUGCCGCCAGAGAUGAAGCAAGCCGUGGUGUGGUGGCUCAUCUUGAAAUCAUGACCCAAAGCAAAUCUUUUCUCCUUUACAGGAGUUUUUAUCCUGUUUUGGUUUUGUUCAGAAGACCAUGAAAGAAGAACAAGCAGAAGAAACCAGAGUUCAGAGAGGUUAAAUAAAGUGUGUGACUAUCAUCAAGCAAGGUCAGGGCUUGAGCACAAAGAGGGUCAAGGCCUACAGGUUGAGAACUACUGCUCUUUACUCCUUUUCAGUGACUCAAUUGUGACAUCUGUCUGCCCUUCGCUUUUAUAGAUUUUGAGAGAGAAUCCCAGGGCUGUAGUGGAAGGAGUAAAUGACUUUUAGGUUGUCAGUUGAGAGCAGGUUUUGAAUAACGUUCUUCCUGAACACCCCAAAACAAAUCUAGUGAGACCAGAUACCCAGACUUCUUUGAAUAGCGGUCACUGUGUUCCCAAGUCCUUCAUAAACCAGCCACACGGUAACCGAUUGGAGAGACUGCAUUUCAAAAUUGGAUUUAGUUGUCAAAAUUGCCUCAUGCAUUCUACUGUGUCAUUUUUUAAAAAGACAUCACUUAGGAGCUUAUAAUUCACCAUCUGCUUUGAAUCUUAAGGACAGCAGAAGGAGGAGCAGAGAAAGCCAGAGGGCAGUCAUGUUCCCACCCAUCUUAUAACCUCCUUUUCCUUUAUUCAUUAUUAAACUAGAACUCUUUCCUUGGUCAAUCAACUUGAAGCCACACAUGCUUUUGUGAAUCAGUUGCUGAACCCCAGGUAGAGUCAGGCUGGAUUGAAAGCAGGGAGCAGUCCUGCAGCCUUGCCUUCCAAUCAAGCAAUUAUUUACUGCUCGGCCAUCUGUCUUCAUUUCUCGAAGCCACUGGAUCAGACACAGCAGUAUCACCGUGCUCUGAGCGGGUCAUAAAUCUCGCAGUACUUACACAGAGUACUCAAUUGCGACUCACACUUCAUCACUUUGUUUACUACCAGUGCAAUCUGGAUUCUUUGUUGUAAUUGGCAAACUUGCUAAAUACCUCUGGGAUGUGAAAAAUAUAAGAUGCCACAUUUUUUUUUUGGUGUGUUGUCAAGCAAUAAAUUAAUUUAUUAAGAAGAAGCAUUAGUCAUCAGUAUCGGGUGACUUGCCGCAGUGAACGAGUUAUAAUGUUAUGAGCAUCGAUCUUAUUUAUACAAAAAGUUAUUGUGGUAUGAGUCUGUGACACAGUAUAGAAACGACUGCCAUUAGCUGGUAAAUUACCUAGAAAGCUGAUUUCUACUCACUGCUUUAUUAACUGUAGUCUAUGGGCUCUGAAUUGCUAAUGUUUCCUUUAAAUUAUACUCUGUGAUGACACUGCAUUCCCAUGUUGGGAAAGCUAUGAUGAUAAUCAUUAACAUACUGUAAUGCAAUACUGAAGAUUUAUCAGGCUCUUAUUAAGCCCCAUAUUACAGUAUAAUAUAAUGAACUGAAAGUUUGUUUCUUCUAAUCCAAAAUCGACUAUGAGGCUUGUGCCAUAAAUUACUGACGCUCCAUCACGAAGCAUGGUGCUGUGGCAUCAAGCUAAUUUCUGUCAUUAUGUUUGUUUGUUUCUAUCUCACAUGUUCUCUGUGUAUUUGCGUGACAUUGCAUUUUUGUUCACCUAGACAGCUGGUACUUAUAAUUAUUUUGUUAGCAUCUAACUGUAUUUUCCCUUUCUUGGUUAAGAAGCAGAAGGAAUUCAAACAUCAAAGCUGAUCUAAACACUACUUGUUCUUUGGGAAAUUUAAAGGAGCUAUGGUUCAGGCUUCUUUGAGAAACACUACCUAGUCUAGUAGUUAGCUGCUUUACAGAAAUAAACUGAUGAUACAUUCUGGUGCCUGGAGCCAUAAGGGGUAGUAGAGGUAAUAUUUUCCAUUCCAUCACAUAUAUAUCAGCUUGAAGAGAUUAACAUAAUACACGAAGCAAAUGCACAAUCUAAAUGCAAGCUGUAUGUUUGUCAUUCUCGUUUUUCUAGAUAGAAAACGCAACAGCAGAAAAGCCAGAGGGAGGGAAAAAUCAAAGUAGAUAGGACACAGGACUUGGAGGAUACAAGGUGGAUCCGACCAGGAAGCCUUUUCCCUGAGGACUAGCUUUUAUAGAACCAGAAGGUUCUAUGGUAGCUUCCACAGGAGGGAAGCAGUCAAUAGCCUUACCCAGCUCUGAUGCCCAGGAACUACAACAAAGACCAGCAUGGUAAGAUGUAAUAGCGGCACUUACAUCUUGGCAGUAACCAACAGCUCUCUAAUUGGACUUCAGGCCCACGCAACAAGAGGAAAAUCAUGCCUGGCAUUGGGAACCUAGCCAACUAUUGACAGCUAGUUAAGUCUUAGGUCUUAGAGGAGAACACACUACUGCCACUUUACUAAAGCAGCAUAGUUCUUAACUGGAUUCUAAGAGCUUAUACGCAUGUCCUUAAGUGUAGUCUUCUUUCCUUAUCCAAGAAACUUCCCUUUCCAGUAGAUGGGGGGAAUGACAGAAACCAUACCUGAUCAAGAAGCAGAGAAGAACUGACCACGGGUUGCCCAGCCCCAACUGGUACAUCUACAACACAGCUCCUGCAUCGAAGGCUCAGGGAACAUCAUGGAAGAGGUGGCAUAAUGAUUAAUGGUAAGAGCUAGAGGACCAGGAAAUCUGCUGUGGGAGAGUGUGUCUCCUAGACAUGACAGGCAAGUUUUUCCCAUGGCAACUCAACAAUAUGGCUGCCUAAGGAAGAUCUGAACAAGGAUUUCAACACUGUUAUUCUAGAAAA